GACACUUUUAGGACAUCCUAUCUCUGCUAUUGAGUUGUGAGUGAGUGGGCAGAAGCACAGACAUUAUGUAACUGAACUGUUCCUGCCUCAGAGACAGUAAGAGAGCAUCCACACACACAUGAGAGAGAGAGAGAGAGACAGUGGGAAAUAAAUAAAUUAAAAUCUCACCUGACCUGGUUAGGGUGAGUGAAUAAAGAGAUGAAGCUGAAAGGGGAGACAGUGAUUGUUUGUAACAGUGAUGAGACAGUCAGUGCUUUUCUCUCAUUCUGUGUGUGAGUCAUUGUUUGGCUGAGCAGCAGUGUACUGGAAACCACAGAGAAGGACAACAAGAAAACGAGAUGAUGGGGGUUGAAAGGCAGUGUGAGGUGGAGGUACUGAAACAGUCCCAAAAAGAUUUACAGUGGGUCCAAAAACAGCUGUCAACCAUCUCUAACCGAACCAAUGGACCAGGCAGGACCAAAGAUAAGGACAGCAGAAAGAAAAAGGAGAGCGACGGAGAGAGAGAGAAAGAAAACAGGAUCACGGCUUGAUGUCCAGACUCAAAC
rnacentral:lncRNA from 1 species